rnacentral:lncRNA from 1 species
AUGCCCACCGGGGUGCUAUUGGGGUGCCCAUUGGGAUGCCCACUGGGGUGCCCAUUGGGGUGCUACCGGAAUUCUCAUUGGGGUGCUAUUGGGGUGCCCAAUGGGGUGCCCAUUGGGGUUCCCAUUGGGGCACCCAUUGAGGUGCCCACUCAGGCACCCAUUGGGGUGCCAUCGGGGUGCUAUUGGGGUUCCCAUUGGGGCGCCCAUUGGGGUGCCCACUCAGGUACCCACUCGGGUGCUAUCUGGGUGUCUUGGGGUUCCCAUUGGGUUCCCAUUGGGGUGCUAUUGGGGUUGCCAUUGGGGUUCCCAUUGGGGCACCCAUUGGGGUGCCUACUCAGGUACCCAUUGUGGUGCCAUCGGGGUGCUAUUGGGGUUCCCAUUGGGGUGCUAUUAGGGUGCCCACUCAGGUACCCAUUGGGGUGCCAUCGGGGUAUUUUGGGGUUCCCAUUGGGUUCCCAUUGGGGUGCUAUUGGGGUGCCCAUUGGGGUUCCCAUUGGGGCACCCAUUGGGGUGCCUACUCAGGUACCCAUUGUGGUGCCAUCGGGGUGCUAUUGGGGUUCCCAUUGGGUUGCCACUGGGGUGCUAUUGGGGCACCCAUUGGGAUGUCCACUGAGGUCCCCAUUGGGGUGCCACUGGAUUUCCCAUUGGGGUGCUAUUGGGACACCCAUUGGGGUGCCCAUAGGGGUGCCCACUCAGGUAUUUAUUGGGGUGCCACUGGGAUUCCCAUUGGGGUGCUAUUGGGGUGCCCAUUGGGGUUCCCAUUGGGGCGCCCAUUGGGGUGCCCACUCAGGUACCCAUUGGGGUGCCAUCGGGGUGCUAUUGGGAUACCCAUUGGGGUGCUAUCUGGGUGCCUUGGGGUUCCCAUUGGGUUCCCAUUGGGGUGCUAUUGGGGCACCCAUUGCGAUGCCCAUAGGGGUGGCACUGGGACCCCAUUGGGGUGCUUUGGGGUGCUAUUGGGGCGCCCCCUGUGAUCAGCACUGUGGUGCCCCUGGGAUGUGCCCCCCCAGGUGCCACCCAUCCCCUCCCCUCGGUGCCACCCUCCCCGUCCCCCCGGUGUCACCCAGCGCCGCGUCCCAACCCUGA